rnacentral:rRNA from 1 species
AUUGAACGCUGGCGGCGUGCCUAACACAUGCAAGUCGAGCGGUAACAGGUGUAGCAAUACAUGCUGACGAGCGGCGGACGGGUGAGUAACGCUUGGGAAUCUGCCUAUUAGUGGGGGACAACCCGGGGAAACGUCGGGCUAAUACCGCAUACGCUCUACGGAGGAAAGCCGGGGACCGCAAGGCCUGGCGCUAAUAGAUGAGCCCAAGUCGGAUUAGCUAGUUGGUAGGGUAAUGGCCUACCAAGGCGACGAUCCGUAACUGGUCUGAGAGGACGACCAGUCACACCGGAACUGAGACACGGUCCGGACUCCUACGGGAGGCAGCAGUGGGGAAUAUUGGACAAUGGGCGAAAGCCUGAUCCAGCGACGCCGCGUGGGUGAAGAAGGCCUGCGGGUUGUAAAGCCCUUUCAGUGGGGAAGAAAAGCCUCGACCUAACACGUCGGGGUCUUGACGUAACCCAUAGAAGAAGCACCGGCUAACUCUGUGCCAGCAGCCGCCGCCGUAAG